AGAACGAACGCUGGCGGCAUGCCUAACACAUGCAAGUCGAACGAAGGCUUCGGCCUUAGUGGCGCACGGGUGCGUAACGCGUGGGAAUCUGCCCUUGGGUUCGGAAUAACAGUUAGAAAUGACUGCUAAUACCGGAUGAUGACGAAAGUCCAAAGAUUUAUCGCCCAGGGAUGAGCCCGCGUAGGAUUAGGUAGUUGGUGGGGUAAAGGCCUACCAAGCCGACGAUCCUUAGCUGGUCUGAGAGGAUGAUCAGCCACACUGGGACUGAGACACGGCCCAGACUCCUACGGGAGGCAGCAGUGGGGAAUAUUGGACAAUGGGCGAAAGCCUGAUCCAGCAAUGCCGCGUGAGUGAUGAAGGCCUUAGGGUCGUAAAGCUCUUUUACCAGGGAUGAUAAUGACAGUACCUGGAGAAUAAGCUCCGGCUAACUCCGUGCCAGCAGCCGCGGUAAUACGGAGGGAGCUAGCGUUGUUCGGAAUUACUGGGCGUAAAGCGCACGUAGGCGGUUAUUCAAGUCAGAGGUGAAAGCCCGGGGCUCAACCCCGGAACUGCCUUUGAAACUAGAUGACUGGAAUCUUGGAGAGGUCAGUGGAAUUCCGAGUGUAGAGGUGAAAUUCGUAGAUAUUCGGAAGAACACCAGUGGCGAAGGCGACUGACUGGACAAGUAUUGACGCUGAGGUGCGAAAGCGUGGGGAGCAAACAGG
rnacentral:rRNA from 1 species